AAAAUUAAGGAGGUAAUUAACGUUUAAACCAGGUGGGGUUUAUAAAUCGUUAACGUUAUAACCCAUUAUUUAUAACCCAAUAUCGCCAUUUAUUAAUGGGAAUUUACGCGAAACAAUUGCGUUUUAUUUGCGUUUGCUAAAAAUUACCCCGUUUUAUAUUUAAAACUGCUAUUUAAAACGAGGACGCCCUUAUUAGGGGGGGGAUAAUUAUUACGUGCAAAUUUAUUAAUAUUUAAAUAUUAGCGUAUAAUUUUAGGGGUUAGGUUUUGCUAAAUUUGUAAAUUCGCGUUACGUAAACGCAGUAGGAACGCCGUUUAUAAAUAGGGGUUCCUAAAUUUUAAAAAUAGCAGGUUAAUCCUAAAUUUUUAAAAAUUAAUUUCUAAUUCAAAUAUUAUUGUUAUAAUGCUAUUGUAAAUUAUUAUACGCUGUAUUAUUACCCUAUAUUUUGUUAAUUACCGUAUGUUUAGCCUGUACCCAGUCCCCGGUUGUGACAGUUUUUUACAAAAUUUCCUAAAACCAAAUUAAGUUCGCAAAAUGCAAAAUUAUGGACGAUUUUCGAAAAAAAAGGUUAUAAUUUUAUUUUUGACAUUUUUAUUAAUAAAAAAUAAUAAAUUGUUUUACGCCAACCAGUUGCGUAAAAUAAUACCGGAUAUAUUAUUUAAAUAAUAUUAAAAACCGGAAUUACCUGUCGAAAUUAACGGAAAACCGGAAUAGGAUAUGGAACAAAUAUUAAUUUCGCGAUUAUCUGGACGAAAAAAAAACAUUAUAAUAUUAAAUAUUAUAAAUCGAAUUCGAUUAUUUAUUAAAUAUAGAAUAAACCCCGCAAUUUGAAAAAAUCUACCAACAUUGUUAGAUAUUUUUUAUAAAAAAUAUCAGGACGUAAUAAGAUUUCCGGUAAAUUCGCAAUAAUGGACAAAAAACGCAAUAAAAGAUAUUUUUGCGGUGGACGGACCCGAAAAUAAUAUUACCGAAUAUAAUGCGAAAAAAAUACGAAAGCGGCGGAAAGUUCCGAGGAAAUAUAUAUAAUAAAUUUAAAAUUUUGGCCGUUUACGUCGAUUAGGUUUUAAAAGGGGGUUAUAUAAAAAUUAGGUCCCCAACUUUAUUUUCAAAUUUACGAUUCGGUUCCACGCCGAACCAGGGAUCGGAUAAAAAGUUUAUUAAUUCCGUAUUUAAACGCGUUUUUCCAACGCGUUUAAAUAUUGUAAUUUUUCUUUCUUUUUCCAAUUUAAAAUCUUCGUUAAUAGCGCUUAAUAUAUUAAGGUUUUCCAAUGUAUGUCUGGCCGUGAUAAUAAACUUAGUUGGAUGGAUUU
rnacentral:sRNA from 1 species